GUGCAUAUAUGUAUACACAUAUAUGUGUAUACAUGUAUACACACAUAUGUGUGUAUAUGUGUGUGUAUA
rnacentral:pre_miRNA from 13 species